UACGUAGGGUGCGAGCGUUGUCCGGAAUUACUGGGCGUAAAAAGCUCGUAGGUGGUUUGUCGCGUUGUUCGUGAAAACUCACAGCUUAACUGUGGGCGUGCGGGCGAUACGGGCAGACUGGAGUACUGCAGGGGAGACUGGAAUUCCUGGUGUAGCGGUGGAAUGCGCAGAUAUCAGGAGGAACACCGGUGGCGAAGGCGGGGUCUCUGGGCAGUAACUGACGCUGAGGAGCGAAAAGCGUGGGGAGCGAACAGG
rnacentral:rRNA from 1 species